rnacentral:lncRNA from 1 species
UUCACCGGAGGCUGGCCUGGCGCACCGGACACUGUCCGGUGCACCACCGGACAGUCCGGUGUGCCAGACUGAGCAGAGAUUUGGCUGCACCAAGCCAAGUCUUUUGGUUCGUUUCUUUUCUCUGUUUCUAGCACUUAGACAAAAUAUGUUAGUACUCAAAACAAUGUACUAAGUCUAGAAACGUACAUUGUUACAUGAUUUGCACCUUUUGCUUGUUUGGGACAUAAUAUCUCACUCACUAUGUGUUGGACACUUAAUCACCAAAACAUUAUAGAAAUGGCCUAAGGGCACAUUUCCCUUUCAAUAUCCCCCUUUUUGGUGAUUUAUGCCAACACAUCAAAAAGCAAUGCAAAACAUGCAACAUCGAUUCAAAUUUAAGACCAAAUUGUUUUUGAUUCUAUUUUGGCAUAUUUGGAUCAUUCUUUGCCACCACUUGGUUUGCUUUUGCAAAUCAAAUUCAUUUUCCUAUAUUUAAGUCAAACACACUUGUUUAGGCAUAAAGAGAGAUAAUCCAAGAAUGAAAUUGAUCAAGAGCCAAAAACUCCCCCUUUUUCCCAUAAUCAUAAAUUCUCCCUCACAAGAGACCAAAUUUUGCAAUAAGAGUAUUUUCGACAAAUCAAAAAAUCCUAACUCUACUAACUCUACUAUUUUCAAAAUCCUCAAGUGGUAGCUGAUCCAUUUGCUUUGGCCUUAAUUUCUCCCCCUUUGGCAUCAAGCACCAAAACGGGAUCAUCCUUGGCCCUUUAACCCCAUUGCCUCACCAAAAUUGUCAAUUAAGAGCAAAAAGGCAAUAAGAGCAUGAGAAUGAACUUAGAGGUGAGUACACUAAUACCGGAGUGCAGUGGAAGUCUUUGCAUGGUCCAAGUUCACCUUUCCCUUUUAAUUCACCUUUGAGACCAUAUCAAGUACACUCAAACACAAAGUUUAGUCUCAAAGGAUCAUGUUGUAGCACUUCUCCCCCUAAAUAUGUGCAUCAUUAAAACAUGGACUUUUGAGGUCCGGGGAUCCCUUGCACAACUUGAGCACCAUAAAUAAACAACAUGAUCAAAGGCAUAAAACACAUGUAUGCUAUAGAUCAAUCCAAAUUACGCGAAUCUAAGACAUUUAGCUCACUACGCAGCCUGCAAAAGAUUUUCUCAUCUAAUGGCUUGGUAAAGUUAUCGGCUAGCUGGUUCUCGGUGCUAAUAUGGAACACCUCGAUAUCUCCCUUUUGCUGGUGGUCUCACAGAAAGUGAUGCCGGAUGUCUAUGUGCGGCUGUGUUCAAUAGGAUUUUCCGCCAUGCGGAUUGCACUCUCAUUGUCACAUAGGAGUGGGACUUUGCUCAGAUUGUAGCCAAAGUCCCGAAGGGUUUGCCUCAUCCAAAGUAGUUGCGCGCAACACUGUCCUGCGACAACAUACUUGGCCUCAACGGUGGAUAGAGCAACGAAAGUUUGUUUCUUUGAACUCCAAGACACCAGAGACCUUCCUAGGAAUUGGCACGUCCCUGAUGUACUCUUCCUAUCAACCUUGCAUCCAGCAUAAUCAGAGUCUGAAUAUCCAAUCAAGUCAAAGGUAGACCCCUUUGGAUACCAGAUCCCGAAGCAAGGCAUAGAAACUAAAUAUCUAAGAAUCCGCUUAACAGCCACAAGGUGACAUUCCCUUGGGUCGGAUUGAUUUCUAGCACACAUGCAUACGCUAAGCAUAAUAUCCGAUCUACUAGCACAUAAAUAAAGUAAUGACCCUAUCAUAGACCGGUAUGCCUUUUGAUCAACGGACUUACCUCCUAUCAUGUCCAUCAGUUCCCAUCGGUGUCUUCGCGGGUUUGGCGUCCUUCAUCCCAAACCACUUGAGAAGACCUUGAGUGUACUUUGUUUGGGAGAUGAAGGUGCUGUCCUUGAGUUGCUUUACAUGGAAACCAAGGAAGUAGUUCAACUCGCCCAUCAUUGACAUCUCAAACUUUUGAGUCAUCACCCUGCUAAACUCCUCAUAAGACUUUUGAUUAGUAGAACCAAAUAUUAUGUCAUCGACAUAAAUUUUGGCACACAAAAAGGUCACCAUUACAAGUCUUAGUGAAAAGAGUGGGAUCGGCUUUCCCAACCUUGAAAGCAUUAGCAAUUAAGAAAUCUCUAAGGCAUUCAUACCAUGCUCUUAGGGCUUGCUUAAGUCCAUAGAGCGCCUUAGAGAGCUUACACACAUGGUCGGGGUACCUGUCAUCCUCAAAGCCACGGGGUUGUUCCACGUACACCUCCUCCUUUAUUGGCCCGUUGAGGAAAGCGCUCUUCACAUCCAUUUGAAACAACCUGAAAGAGUGGUGAGCGGCAUAGGCUAAUAAUAUUCUAAUAGACUCUAGCCUAGCCACAGGAGCAAAGAUCUCCUCGAAAUCCAAACCUGUGACUUGGGCAUAACCUUUUGCCACAAGUCGGGCCUUGUUUCUUGUCACCACUCCGUGCUCGUCUUGCUUGUUGCGGAACACCCACUUGGUUCCCACAACGUUUUGCUUUGGACGUGGCACCACGCUCCAAACUUCAUUCCUUUUGAAGUUGUUGAGCUCUUCCUGCAUGGCCAACACCCAGUCCGGAUUUUGCAAGGCCUCUUCUACCCUGAAAGGCUCAAUAGAAGAGACAAACGAGUAAUGCUCACAAAAAUUAGCUAAUCUUGAGCGAGUAGUUACUCCCUUGCUUAUGUCACACAGAAUCUGAUCGACGGGGUGAUUUCUUUGAAUCGUCGCUUGGACUUCAGUUGGAGGGGCCGGUGGUGCUUCUUCCUCCAUAGCUUGUUCUUCUUGUGCUCCCCCUUGAUCACACGCCUCUUCUUGAUGAACCUGUCCAUCAUCUUGAGUUGGAGGAUGCAUCAUCGUUGAGGAAGAAGGUUGAUCUUGCUCUUGUUGUUCCUGUGGUCGCACAUCUCCAAUCGCCAUGGUGCGUAUUGCGGCCGUUGGAACAUCAUCUUCAUCUAUGUCAUCAAGAUCAACUUGCUCUCUUGGAGAGCCAUUAGUCUCAUCAAAUACAAUGUCGCUAGAGACUUCAACCAAACCCGAUGAUUUGUUGAAGACUCUAUACGCCUUUGUAUUUGAGUCAUACCCUAGUAAAAACCCUUCUACAACUUUGGGAGCAAAUUUGGAAUGUCUACCUUUCUUCACCAAAAUGUAGCAUUUGCUCCCAAAUACAUGAAAGUAAGAAACAUUGGGUUUGUUACCGGUAAGGAGUUCGUAGGAGGUCUUCUUGAGGAGACGAUGUAGAUAGAGCCGGUUUAUGGCGUGGCAAGCUGUGUUCACAGCUUCCGACCAAAACCGCUCGGGCGUCUUGAACUCUCCAAGCAUCGUCCUCGCCAUGUCGAUAAGUGUCCUGUUCUUCCUCUCUACCACACCGUUUUGCUGUGGUGUGUAGGGAGCGGAUAACUCAUGCUUGACACCUUCCUCCUCAAGAUACUCCUCAACUUGUAAGUUCUUGAACUCGGACCCGUUGUCGCUCCUAAUCUUUUUCACCUUGAGCUCAAAUUCGUUUUGAGCCCUCCUUAGAAAGCGCUUCUGGGUCCCUUGGGUUUCUGAUUUAUCCUGCAAAAAAAACACCCAAGUGAAGCGGGAAAAGUCAUCUACAAUUACAAGACCAUACUUACUUCCCCCGAUGCUAAGGUAGGCGAUGGGUUCGAAGAGGCCCAUGUGGAGAAGCUCCAGUGGUCUUGACGUUGUCAUCACAUUCUUGCUGUGAUGAGUGCUUCCCACCUGUUUCCCUGCUUGACAAGCUGCACAAGGUCUAUCAUUUUCGAAGCAUACAUUGGUUAGUCCUAACACAUGUUUCCCUUUAGAAGUUUAUGAAGGUUCUUCAUCCCAACGUGUGCUAGAUGGCGAUGCCACAGCCAGCCCAUGCUAGUCUUAGUUGUUAAGCAUGCAUCUAGAUCGGCCUCCUCUUUCGAAAAAUCAACUAAGUAGAGUUUUCCGUCUAAUACACCCUUAAAUGCUAAUGAACCAUCACUCCUUCAAAAGACAGAAACAUCAACAUUUGUAAACAAACAAUUGUAGCCCAUGUGGCACAAUUGACUUAUAGAUAGGAGGUUGUAACCAAGCGACUCUACUAGAAAUAUGUUUGAAAUGGAGUGCUCGUUGAUGAUAGCUAUCUUUCCCAAGCCUUUAACCUUGCCUUGGUUCCCAUCUCCAAAGAUGAUCGUAUCUUGGGAAUCCUUAUUCUUGACGUAGGAGGUGAACAUCUUCUCCCCCGUCAUGUGGUUUGUGCAUCCGCUGUCAAUAAUCCAGCUUGAGCCCUCGGAUGCAUAAACCUGCAAAACAAUUUACGCUUGGGUUUUAGGUACCCAACUAUUGUUGGGUCCUACAAGGUUAGUUACAAUAGCCUUUGGAAUCCAAAUACAAGUCUUAUCUCCCUUGCAUUUGGAUCCCAACUUCCUAGCAACUACUUAUUCAUUCUUACAAAAAUUGCAAAAGAGGUAUUGCAAGCAUGGUAAAUAGUAGAAGGUUCAUUACAUACUUUCCUAGGCACAUGAUGCACAUCAUGAUUUCUCCUAGGCUUACUUCUACCAUGCACAAAAGUAGAGCUAGAAGCAAACAUAGCAUGUGAGUUAAACACAUCAUUACUCCUAUUAUAAUGAGCAUUUCUAGCAAAUUUCCUAUCAUAAAUGUAAGCAUGACAUUUUUGAGAACUACUAGCCAUAGGAGCCUUCCCUUUCUCCUUGUUGAGAACAGGGGCCUUUUGGCUUGUUAAGUUCUUGGCUUCCUUUCGAAAGCCAAGUCCAUCCUUAAUUGAGGGGUGUCUACCAACGGUGUAGGCAUCCCUAGCAAAUUUUAAUUUAUCAAAAUCAACCUUGCAAGUCUUAAGUUAAGCAUUAAGACUUGUCACCUCAUCAUUUAAUUUAGCAAUGGACGCAAGAUGUUCAUCACAAGCAUUGAUAUCAAAAUCCUUGCAUCUAUUGCAAAUUACAACAUGUUCUACACAUGAACUAGAUUUAUUAGCUACAUCUAGCUUAGCAUUUAAAUCAUCAUUCAAAGUUUUUAAACUAGAGAUAGAUUCAUGGCAAGCAGAUAACUCAGAGGAUAUCAUUUCAUUUCUCUUAGUUUCUUUAGCAAAAGAUUUUUGCACACUAACAAAUUUAUCAUGCUCCUCAUAUAAAAUAUCCUCUUGUUUUUCUAACAAUCUAUCCUUUGCAUUUAGAGCAUCAAUCAGUUCAUUGAUCUUUUCUACCUUAGCUCUAUCUAAACCUUUGAAUAAGCUAGAAUAAUCUACUUCAUCAUCACUAGAAUCAUCAUCGCUAGAAGUAGUGUAUUUAGGGGUAUCACGAACACUUACCUUCUUAUCCUUGGCCAUGAGGCAAGUGUGGCGUUCGUUGGGGAAGAGCGAGGACUUGUUGAAGGCUGAGGCUGCCAGUCCUUCAUUGUCGGAGUCGGAUGAAGAGCAGUCUGAAUCCCAUUCUUUGCCAAGAUGAGCCUCGCCUUUCGCCUUCCUAUAGCUUUUAUUCUUCUCCUUCUUCCCAUGUCUUUCUUCCCCUUGGUCAUUUUCAUUAUCGGGACAUUGAGCAAUAAAAUGACUAGUCUUACCGCAUUUGAAGCAGGAGCGCUUUCCCCUUGUCUUAUUCUUGUUGGGGGUACUCCUUGCGUCCUUUUAGUGCGGUCUUGAAGCGCUUGAUGAUAAGCGACAUCUCAUCUUCGUUGAGACCAGCGGCCUCCACUUGUGCCACCUUGCUUGGUAGCGUCUCGCUGCUGCUGGUUGCCUUGAGGGCAACGGUUCGAGGCUCGUGGACGGGGAGUGGACCGUUAGAGCGUCGUCCACAUAUCAAGCCUCCUUCACCAUCAUGCGCCCGCUCACAAACUUCCCAAGAAUCUCCUCGAGCGUCAUCUUGGUGUACCUGGGAUUCCCACGAAUAAGGUUAACAAGAUGGGGGUCAAUUACCGUGAAUGACCUUAGCAUAAGUCGGACGACGUCGUGGUCCGUCUAUCUUGUGCUUCCAUAGCUCCUAAUCUUGUUGACCAGGGUCUUGAGCCUGUUGUAUGUUUGUGUUGGCUCUUCUCCCCUGAUCAUCGCGAACCUUCCCAGCUCACCUUCCACCAACUCCAUUUUGGUGAUCAUGGUGGCAUCGUUUCCCUCAUGUGAUAUCUUGAGGGUAUCCCAAAUUUGCUUGGCGUUGUCCAAGCCUCUCACCUUGUUGUAUUCAUCCCUGCACAAGGAUGCUAGCAAAAAAGUGGUAGCUUGUGCAUUCUUAUGAAUUUGCUCAUUGAUAAAUACAGGGUUAUCCGUACUAUCGAAAUGCAUUCCAUUUUCAACUAUCUCCCAAAUACUAGGAUGGAGAGAAAAUAAGUGACUACGCAUUUUGUGACUCAAAAAGGAGUAGUCUUCUCCAUCAAAGUGUGGAGGUUUACCAAGUGGAAUUGAAAGCAAAUGAGCAUUGGAAUUGAACGGAAUACGAGAAUAAUCAAAUGAAUAGUUUUGAUUAACCGGUUUCUUUUUAGACGAGUCAUCAUCGUCGUCGUCUCUUGGUGAAGAAGAAGAUUCAUCGCUGUCGUAGUAGACGAUCUUCUUGAUGCGCCUCUUCUUCUUCCCGUCCUUCUUCUUCUGACUUGAGCCAGAGUCAGUGGGUUUGUCGUCCCUUGGCUCGUUGAAGUGGGACUCCUUCUCCUUGUCGUUGACCACCAUCCCCUUUCCCUUAGGAUCCAUCUCUUCGGGCGAUUAGUCCCUUAGAUGAAGAGAACGACUCUGAUGCCAAUUGAGAGCACCUAGAGGGGGGGUGAAUAGGUGAUCCUGUAAAAUUCAACACUAAUAUCCACAAAACUUUAGUUAUGAAAGUUAGAACGGUUAAGUGGCUUCAAACGAGCUCUUAUGAACACAGACAAUCAAAGAGAAAACAAUCACAAGAGACACGCGAUUUUAUCCCGUGGUUGGGCCAAGUAACACUUGCCUACUUCCACGUUGUGGCGUCCCAAUGGACGAGGGUUGCGCUCAACCCCUUUCAAGUGAUCCAAUGAUCAACUUGAAUACCACGACUUUUCUUCCUUAUCUCUUUUUCCCGUUUGCGAGGAAUCUCCACAAGUUGGAGUCUCUCGCCCUUACAACAAAGAUCACAAUGAAAACAAAAGAGUAAGGUUGGGGAACAACACACACAAAUCCGCAGCACACACACACACAAGCUAAGACUUGAGCUCAAAAUGAAGCACGAGGAGUUCACAACUAGAACGAAGCUCAAAUCACUAACACAAUCGAUCAAGUGCGCGGAGACGAAGUGUGGGAGUCUUAGAAUGCUUAGUGAAUGCUUGGGUUACUCCUCCAUGCGCCUAGGGGUCCCUUUUAUAGCCCCAAGGCAGCUAGGAGCCGUUGGAGGCCAACAAGGAAGGCUAUCCUUGCCUUCUGUCGGCUGGCGCACCGCACAGUCCGGUGCACCACCGGACAACCACUGUUCAUGUCCGGUGCGUGAUCUCCUUCCUAUUCUGGAGCAGACGACCGUUGCAGAUUCGUGGCAGUUGGCGCACCGGACAGUCCGGUGAUUUAUAGUCGUACGCCGCCAAAUUUUCCCGAGAGUGGCCUGUUCACCGGAGGCUGGCCUGGCGCAUCGGACACUGUCCGGUGCACCACCGGACAGCCCGGUGUGCCAGACUGAGCAGAGAUUUGGCUGCACCGAGCCAAGUCUUUUGGUUCUUUUCUUUUCUCUGUUUCUAGCACUUAGACAAAAUAUGUUAGUACUCAAAACAAUGUACUAAGUCUAGAAACGUACCUUGUUACAUGAUUUGCACCUUUUGCUUGUUUGGGACAUAAUAUCUCACUCACU